GGCCGUGACCGAGGCCGGGGGUGUGAGACCGAGUCCUGCCGGUGUCCGCUCGCGGAGCGGGGCUGCCUCUCCCCCGGCCGGCGGGUUGCGGGUCUCGGGGACGGCGGACCAGGGCCGGACUGGGGCUGAGACAGGGCUGCGGACUGGGCAAACCCAGCCUGGACUCGGUGCCCCCUCCUGCUACGAUGCCGGGACGAAGUCGGCCGAAAGCGAGUGAUGGAGCCCACGCCCGGAGCCGGGAUGGGGCUUUCGGGUCCUGCCAGGUUCCGCCGAGGCAUCCCGGGCGGUGUCGCCUCUCCCUCAUCGGGAGGCUCGAAGCGGCAUCGGGCCGGGAUCGGUACCGGCCCGGGAUGGCCGCGGGCACGGUCCCGCUCCGCUUGCGGGGAGCCGGGGCCGUGCCGGGGCCCGGGAGAACGGCGGCAGCGGUAUUUCCCGGGUGCCCCCGACGUUCCGGAGCCCAGAGCGUGCCGUGGGUCCAGGCAGGGCUGAUCCCCGCUCCGCCUUCAGCGGUUCCUGCCCUUCGUGCCUUUGGAACUUAGGGAGUUUCGAACAGUGACUUUCUCCCUGCCACCAUAAGGCGCAGCCCAUCUGACAGCUGCCAGUCGGGGAAGCUCCUGCCUGGGAUGGAAAUGGCUGAAGAAGAGGAAACUUAAAAAUGCCAGAACCAGAUGCUGCCAUAUGAAUCAAAGCAGGGACAGCCUCGGGAUGUCCAAGGUGUGUUUUAUUGUCACAUGUGAAACCUCUGCUGAUGGCCAGUGCCACCUUUAUUUCCCCCGAGGGACCCCACAGGGCCACCAGGAUGUUGCCAGAAUUGUAUCUUUGGGGUCCCAUCCCCUCACAGCAUUCAGUGGCUCCAUCCUGGGGAGCACUUCUUUCAGGGGAGCAGCAAUUGCACAUGAAACUUCGAUGACCACUGAGAAAUAAGAGAGAGACCUGUGAUAAAAAACCUUUUCUUAAAGAAUAAGAGCAACAAUUUAUCCACAGCGCUUGAGCAGCUUCAAUAUCCAUAUGACACAGCAUCUAAUUCCAUCUCCUGAUCUGAUCUUGGCAAAAGGAAGAGUCACCUGCCCUCAGUGUAAAUAUUUAGUACACAAAAUACUGUCAAGAAACCCACUUUUAAUAAAUAUCUGUAGCUCUCA